rnacentral:rRNA from 1 species
UACGUAGGGGGCAAGCGUUGUCCGGAUUUAUUUGGGCGUAAAGAGCGUGUAGGCGGAGUGUUUUUGUCGGGCGUGAAAUUCCAGGGCUCAACCUUGGGGGCUGCGUUCGAGACGGGCAUUCUGGAGUGGGGAAGAGGGUCGUGGAAUUCCCAGUGUAGAGGUGAAAUUCGUAGAUAUUGGGAAGAACACCGGUGGCGAAGGCGGCGACCUGGUCCUUGACUGACGCUGAGGCGCGAAAGCGUGGGGAGCAAACAGG